CCGUGAGAAGGAAGGAUCAGCAUCUGAACCUCAGAGUAGGGUGGAGAAGAGUGGCUAGAACGGAGGUUCAAAUGAACAAUAUUCCUUCAAGUCAUCAAAAUAAAAUGGAGUAGACAAGUGGCCAACAGAAAAUAUUCACUGAAUAAACAGAUUCAAAGCCAAAGCCCUGCUAUUGAGGAGCUGGCAGUAUGAUGGGGGAGAGAGGAAACAACUACCAUGUGACAGUGUAUUCACAGAGAGUUCUAGAAGGACUGGGUUUGGGGAUGAGAGACGUCUGCACAGGCUUUCUGGAGU